AGGUGGCACGCAGUAUGUUUUUACGUCACGGAGUGAGCCAACUCCAGUGAUGUCCUUUCUCUCUGUCUCUCACAGAUCACCUGAGCUGGUGGGAGUGCAAACUUGUACAGGCCUUGUGGAAAUCAGCCAUUUCUCAGAAAGAUGGGAAUUGAUCCACCUCAAGAUCUAGCUAUACCACUCAGCCAUUGAAAAUGACAUCAUGAAAUUUGUAGGCAAAUGGAUGAAACCAGAAAAAAAUCAUCCUGAGUGAGGUUCUUUGAUACAGAAAGGUACUUUGCUACCAGAGGAGAAACGUAAACACGAACCCAUCCACAACCCUUUAUCUAUAGUGCUGUUAGCCUCCAAGAUCUGCUAAUGCAACAGCGGCACAAAGUGUGAGAGGAACCAACCAAUAUCCGAUUUGGUUUAAACACAAGAUGGAACCCAAACCCAACACCACUUGGGUGGCCAAGAACCUGAGGCUACGUAGCCCAGGGACCUAGGGUAAAACCAAAU